ACGAACGCUGGCGGCGCGCUUAACACAUGCAAGUCGAGCGAGAACCAACCCUUCGGGGUUGGGGGACAGCGGCGAACGGGUGAGUAACACGUGAGUAAUCCACCCUUGGUACCGGGAUAGCUCGGGGAAACUCGAAUUAAUACCGGAUAGCCCAUCAGCCUUUCGGGGCGAAUGGAAAAGGUAGCUUCGGCCUCCGACCAAGGACGAGCUCGCGGCGGAUUAGCUUGUUGGCGGGGUAAUGGCCCACCAAGGCGACGAUCCGUAGCUGGUCUGAGAGGACGAUCAGCCACACUGGGACUGAGACACGGCCCAGACUCCUACGGGAGGCAGCAGUGGGGAAUCUUGCGCAAUGGGCGAAAGCCUGACGCAGCGACGCCGCGUGAGGGAAGAAGGCC
rnacentral:rRNA from 1 species